rnacentral:lncRNA from 1 species
GGAUACAGCACAGGAAAUGUUCAACAGUCACAUGCUGUGUAUGGUGACCAUAUCUAUUGCAUACUGCCGAGCACUUCAGCGCAACCACAACUGCCAGACUACCUGUCCGAGCCGUCCACAUUAACUUCCGUGCAUGGGCUCCCAGAAGUGCCAGACUACCCGUCCCAGCCGUCCACGUCAAGGGUUUCUACGCCUAGGCUCCCAGAAGUGCCAGACUACCCGUCCCAGCCGUCCACAUCAAGAGUUGCCACGCAUGG